GAAUUAUGAUGAAGAAUUGUUGUUUGAUUGUUUUCAUCUUUUGCACAAUUGAUGUGUCAAAUGGCGGCAGUAAGUAUCCUGUAUCUUUAAAACGCUGUAGUGAAGAUUAAAGAUUAGGCUGCCUGACUCUCUCAUAAUAUUAAAAGUACGAUCCUUUCACUCUGAUCAAACGUUCUGCAUUCGGGAGCCAAAAUGAGACAGACAGAGUUAAAACCUUUUUAUGUCACAGAUAUUCAAUCAUGUUAACAAAUUAUCUACAAUUUGUUUUUAUAGUAAUUUGGGGAUACACACCUCUAGUUUACAACGAUAAUAUCAGUACUUUCGUCGAGCUACAGAGCUGUACAAAACUGUUCAACACUACUUUCCUAGGUUAACCUAAGAACAAUAACAAAAAAACUGUUUUUAAGAAGAACAAGUUUUAAAUCUUCUAAGCAGAGUUACGAGCAUCUCGAGCAAAUUCCGAAAAUUUUAUUCAUGAGAAAUCAUACUGCAACAACAAUAUAUAUAUAUAGACCUUUUCUUAAAAUUAACAAAAUUCUUCAUUGUGUCCUAUAUUCAACAUGGUUAAGCAAAUCAAUUUGAGAAAUAAACUAUGACUUUAUAUUUAUAUCCUGAUUGUGUAAUGUUAAUGUAUAUAUAUAUCAAAGUAAAUCAUGCUAUAUUUGUAUCGGAGUACUGUACUAUUCAGUUCUUUCUGGGAUAUGCCUCGCCUCCAAUGGUACCUGUGGAAAGAAAGGUGUUCCAUGUAAUGAGACAUUCGGGUCUGAAUGGACGUACAACGGAAAAUGCUGCAAUGGCAAACCAUGUUGCAAACGUAAGUAGACAAAUAAAGCAGGCAGUAGUGUUUGUCACUGUUGAUCAAAUCGAAUGAAUGCAAAGGAAUUUCAUAGACAUAGAUAGUUAUAUUUGGACAAAAAAAAAGAAACAUGGAACAGUUUUCAUUCCUUUUUUGAAAUAUUUUGCGCUCAACAACGACGAUGAUGGCGUUUUGUACACCCAACAAAGACAAAACAUCUAAGUAUGACAUGUUUGUACUUAAAAUAUCACAUUUGCAAUAUUCUAGUCGAAAAAAAGCAAUUAAUUAAAGUUGUUUCAGCUGCCAUUUUGUCCUUGAAGAUUUCGUAAUGUUUCAGAUUUUGAUACUGGAUGUCUCAUCUACUCACUGCUUAAAUUAACAAAUUGAAAGUAGGCACUCACUCACUAGUAUGUAUUUCAGUAGAAUAUUAUAAAUAUAUUGGAAUGUAUUGUGUAAAGAGCAAAUGUAUAAACGUCAUUGCCUAUACCAAGACAGGUGUACGACAGUUGUAAUCAUUUCAUUUGAUGUGUUUGGGCUUUUGAUUUAGCCAUUUGGCUUUUUCUGUAGACUUUUCCUCGGAGUUCAGUAUUUUUGUGAUUUUUUUGAAUUAGAAGACACAUCUCCUUUAAAACUCUUUUAGUUUAUCACAUAGAACUUGCAUUCUUCUGUAUAAUUUGAUUAUUUACUUAUAUAAUGUGUACCCUUAUUGUAAUGAGGUUUUAAUUUUAAUUGUUAUAUUUAAUAUCUUUAUAGAAAAAAGCGUAACACAUUGUUUCUAACUUUGCAAUAAAUGAUUUUUUUGUACACCAACAUUAAGAACGGUUUUAAUUAUUGUUUCUUUUUAAUUUUUGUACAAAUACAAGAAGAAAUAACCCAUCCAAAAUUCAAAAUAAUAAUUCCAUUUGUUUCCUUUUGUGAAAUCAAGUUUAAAAAUAUCGUUAUCACCAUUUUUUAAAUCAGCAUAAAGGUCAAAGGGAAACAACUGUAUUUCUUCGCUGGAAUUCGCUAUGUGCUUGAUUGCAAUAUGCAAAAUUAAAAAGAACAUCACAACUAAGGUAUUCUGUUCCUUUACAAAUUAUUUUAACGACAAAAGAGUAUUCCACUGCAAUAAUUGUACCCUUUAAAAACUUAAACUUUUACACAUAAAUCUGAUAUUUACUUGCAACGUAAGUAUUGCCCUUCCGUCUUUCUUUCCUUUCUGUUUUUCUUUUGUUCUUAUAUUCAUUUUAUUUAUUUAAAUCUCAUUUGUGGGGCUUCUGUUUCAUAACAGAUGUGAACAAAAAAAUGUCUAUGCAUUAAUUGCACAACAAGCUUGUCUGUUGUGGAGAGUGGUUUUAUUGCCAAUCAUUCCAAAGAAAUACCUGUAUAUUCUGUAUUUCAAUAUCCCUAUAUUAUGUUUGUUUCAUUCAAAAUUUCAAAAUGAAGGAAUAUAUUUUCCACAUGCAAAGCUUUGAUUCUUUGUCCAGCUUUGGCUAUAUGUUUGUAUCCGUUUUUUGGUUUAUAGCUCUUCAUGUCUUUAAUUAGCUUUCGUUUUACAAAUAUUUUGGCCUCGAGCAUCACUAACGAGACAUUGAUUGUCGAAAUGCGCAUCUGGUGCAGACAUUUGGUAUCGUUUAUGUUUAAAUGACGUUCUGCAACAUUUGAUCAAAGUGAUUUAUUCAUUACGUUAUUAUAAUUACGCCAUCGCUUCAUCUGUUUAUGUUUUAAUUGCGAUUACGGAUCAAAUUUAACCAAAUUGAUUUUUAGUGUUAAAAGCGCCAUGUGUUCCGGAAACUUGUCCAAAGGGGUUCGUUCUUUUAGCAAACCAGGCAAAUAGUGCUGAUUGUUAUUUCUAUAGUCGUAGUGGUAUUGAAACGUGGGAGACAGCCAGGGUGAGUAUGUUAAUUAAUCACUAUUAAUCUGUAGGAAGAAAAUAAGAUUAAUUCAGAUAUUUUUUAUGUAUUUAUCAAGUGACAUUACAUAAUUCUUUAUCACUGACUUAAGUAAUUUACUACGUUAUCUCUACAUUAUAAGCGUAAUGAAAGAAUACCCAAGGCUCCGCGUUGAAGACCGUACUUUAACCUAUAAUAAUGGUUAAAAAUUUUUUAAAGUUUUUUUUUAACUUGGAUUGAUAGUUGUCUCAUUGGCACUCAUACCACAUCUUCUUAUAUCUAUUUCAACUCCAGAAUCAACAAUUUUUCUACAGGUUACCUUCUCUGUGGUGGAACAUCCUGGUACGCGGUCAAGCAAGAGCAAAAAUAUCAAUCUGCACAAUUUUGAGGGAAAGUUUUCUGUAAAAUGCUUUCUAUACACGACGCGGAAAACAGUAAUCUGUCCCCAAAGUUGCACCGAUUGUAUAUUUGAUUUUACUUCUUAUGGCUGUUCGUUAUUACCUGAGUACCAGGAUAUCCUAUCAAAGUGGGAACCUGACGAAAAAUUAUAAACCGGGAGUUCAAAGUUGGUAUUAUGAUAAUAGACUACUGCUGUCACGAUAUGGGAGACAUAAGUAUAUGAAAAAAACAGUCUGUUUACCAAAAAAAAAAAAAAUCAGUCUAUUUACCAAAACAAAAAAAUCAAAAUAACAUGUAUAUAGUAUAUGUUAAAACGAUAACAAUACUGACAGGGCUAAUACGAUGACUAGUAUUGACACUCUAAGAACAUUUUUCUGCAAAAAACAUAUUAUCUACUGUAUAUUCGUUUAUGUUCGUGGUUACCAAUUUUCGUGAAUAUAAGGAAAACUUGCAUGUUCAUGAUGUUGGUUGAUACUAAUUAAUUUCGUGCUUUUUCUUAAGUCAUCAUGAAGCCUAUAAAAAUGUGUCAUUGGUUGAAUAUUUAAUUUUGUGGUUUUACUGUUCCCACUAAAUCAACGAAACUUGGUAUUCAACAAAUAUUAAUGAAUCCACAGUACUAAGAACAAACAAAUUUAGUGACCGAAAUGUAAAAAUAAAAUGAAUGUUAUCUUACUAUCUUUCAGUUGAGAUGUGCCAAUACACCAGGUGCCUAUCUGUGGAGACCGAACAAUAUAGUAGAAGCCAAUGAUGUAAUAGUUCAAAUCAGUAAGUUGAAAAUAUAACAUUAAUUCUGUGUGAAUGAAGUUAUUCAGUAAUUACGUAUUACAAAAAAUCAACAAAUCAAUAAAAUUCGUGUGAACGAACUUAAUCCGUUAUAAUCCAUUAUAAAGUAUUUGAAAAAAUAUGACAACGAAUAUAAUCUGUUAUUAAGAUAUACGAAAAACUGUUAUAACUAGUCCCACAAUAUUGUGAUGACAAAUUUUAGCUGUGAUAACAAUUUUUCCAGUUCGUAAUAACGAUUUUAAUUCGUGAUUUUGACUUUAUCGAAAAACUAGGGAAGUUUUUAUAAUGCAGAAGCGUUAGGGACAAAAGACCUUUACAGAACAGCAAAUUCACCUAAAGUUGCCUUUGCCUGAUUAAAUAUAAACUACUGUGGUUCAAUUAUUUUCGUGGGGACCAAUUUUCAUGAAUUAAGGAAAACGUACAUUUUCGUGAAUAUUUAAUUUCGUGGUUUUGAUGGAAUAUGCAUACACGUUUAUAGGAAAUAUUUAAUUCGUUGAACUUUUAAUUCCGUGGUUUCACCUUUACGCACGUUAUCUCCGAUAAUUGGGAUUCAACGAAUAAUUAUGAAUCCACAGUAAUUUCAUUUGUUCAAUUUUAAGUCUUCAUAUCAAUGAAGCAAAUGUAAAUAUAAGAAUAGAAAAUGUGGUAUGAUUGCCAAUGAGACAUUUCUCCAAAAAGAGACCAAAUGACACAUAAAUUAAUAAUAUAGGUCACCGUACGGCCUUCAACAAUGAUAAAAGGCCCCGAAACGACAAAUGUAAGAAAGGUAUUAAAUAUUUGAUAUAUGCUACCUACUUUUGCCUAAAUUUACCAUUAUCAUUAGGAAUUAGGAAUGAGGAACUAUCAAUUAUCAAUAGUUCAAUAUUUAGAGGAGUGUGUUUACCAGUUUACCAAAUGAACAUACACAUACACAAACUAUACUAAACAAUCUGAUUGAGUUAAAGCCCUUGUGAAAUAAAAAAAUCAGUUGAUUUUAUGAUAACAAAUUUAACAUGUUCAUCUGUUUUGUUUCUAUCAGCUGUUUAAUGUUUGCCUUGUGUUUUGAAUUUUUGAUAAUUUAACUUCGAUCAUGACCAUUUGAUGCAGAAAACAUUGCAUCGUGCAAAUAAUUAAUCGUAUCAUACAAGAACAUCAAUUCUCACAUCAUGUGAACAAUUUUCAUUAUUUUCGCAGUACUUUAGUAUUUAAAAAAUUGCAUCACACGUUCUUAAAAACAUAGUUCACAGUACAAAUAGUUUGAAAUUCUACAAGAGUUGACUUAAUAAUAGAACUUGCAAAAGAUAAGGCAACUUCUUUAAUUGAAAUUGAGUUUUAUUUUGUUAAAUAUAUAUGUAUAGGUAUCUGUCUAAGUCGUUGAAUUAUAGUAAUUUCAUUCCCCGAUUUCUUACCCUUACAAAACCCAUUUUGUACCAUGAUUAUUUCGUUCGAUGACCAGUUCAUACCUCAACGAAUAUUUAUAUGUAAAUCAUUUUGUACCUUUUGGAAGAUUUAUACUAAUGAAAUUUUAUAAUUUUUUGAAUAUUUAUAUGCAAACCAUUUCGUUUUUCACGGAAAGAGACUUAUGUUUGCUAUUUCAUACGCAAUGGAAUAUAUCUAUGUUUACCAUUUCCUGUCAAGUGCAGAUUUAUAUGUGUGCCAUUUCGUACAGGACGGAAGAUAUGUAUGACAAUGGUCGUAUAAGGUGCAAAUCAUUUUUCAAACAUAUAUAUUCAUGGCUUUCUUCUUUGAUUAAUAUCUCAUUUCACUGUAUUUCAUGAUAUUGUUCACGAUAAAGCAGCUGUUGAAAAACUAUAAAAAUUGUUCAGAAAAAAAUUCCUUUGUUAAUUAACCUCAUUUUCAAAAAAUAUUCAUCAAAAAAUGUAAAUUGGUUAAGGAUAACCCCUUCAAACAAAACAAAGUACAUAAAAAAUAUCCAAGUUUCUAUGUAUUGCCUAAUUCAACGAAUUAUAGUUCUUUUUAUUGUAAGGUACAUUGUUAUAUUGAUUAAUAAAAAAUCCACUUUCUGGCUCUAAUAAAUUCUCACUCAAGAAAAGAAUUUAUCUUUGAUUAUGUAGAUUAGGUUCGUUGUAUUUUAGUAUCGAAGCGAUUUUAGAAACAUAUAUGUAACUUAGUAAAUGUUAAAAAAACCGUUUCAUUUGAUAUGUUUAUUUUAUAUUUAUAUUUUCCAUAUUUACAAAACUAACUUUUAUUACGAAAAACAUUUUUUUUUUUAAAUCUGUUCCUAUAUGGUUACGCGUCAUAACAGUUUACAUCGUUGUAACUUAUGUGUGUUGUUCCCUUCAACCUCAACAGUAUUAAUUUAUCUUGUUUCUUUGAAAAAUUCCAGUCAGGAAUAUGAGAGUUGUUUCCCAUCAGUUUCGCUAAGUAUUAAGUUUUAAGGACGUUUUUAAAAUAUUUCAUUGGAGUUGGUAUUUAUGUUCAUACUUUAUUUUUAUUCUACUGAUUUUCAAUUUUACAUUUAAUUCUUUUUACAGUCGGUGUAAAUACUGUAUGGACUGGUGCAAAUGAUAGAGACAAGGAUGGGAACUAUAUAUAUUUGACAUAGAAAAUAGUCCAUUUUCAAAAACAUCUCUCCCAUUUGGAUCAGGUAAAUUUGACGUACUUAGUAUAAUUCAUUUACAGUUUAUACACCAUACGUCAAUGAGACAGUAAGCAAACAACACAAAAAAAAAGCGUCAGAAGAACAGUACUUGGAACAAACAAUAAAUGUAUAUAAAAAAAGUUAGAACAAAAUCAAUAGACUAAUAAGGAUCAGCACUUUUACAUUAGGUACUAUAUAACAGAUAAAACAAUAAAAUAUUUUUUACGAAUUGGACUAAAGAACGGGUAUUUACUUACAUUUAAAACCCGUCGGUGGCCACUAUUUGAGCAGAAUUUUGUUACACUUCCAGAGCACCUGAUAUUACUUCUAUUUUUUAUAUGUUGUAUUUCGUAUACUGCUGAUUUCUUUUAGUUAAAUUUCGUUUUUUUUCCAUGGCGUUGUCAAUAGAUAUAAGAAGAUGUGAUAUGAGUGCCAAUGAUACAACUCUCCAUCAAAGUCUCAAAAUGUGUUAAAGUAAAUCAUUAUAGGUCAAAGUACGGUCUUCAAAACGGAGCCUUUGCUCACACCGAACAGCAAGCAAUAAAGUUUGUUUUCGACUAAUGGGUAUGCAAUUCGAUCGCUUUUGUAUAUUUCGCAUGUUUUUUUUAAUACAAUCUAAAUAUGAUUUAACUCUAAAAAUGGUAUCGAAGAAGACAAUUUUUAGGACUAGUGCAAACAAUUGCAGCAUUUACACUGAUGUCCGUAUAGUUCAAUAUAUCGAUGUGUCGCUUUAAAAUACACUAUCUCGUAAUAUAACCGUGGGCUCAUUUAAAAAUAAAUUUUAAAAAAAUAUACCAUAGACAAAAAGUAAUUACUUUAAAUUAGAUGGGUACUGUUCAAUGACAUUACAUUUCAGAAUAUGUUUUCUAAUAAAAAAAUUAAAAAAAAUUCGAGGUAAAUUAUCGCUAACCAAAUAUUAUCCUUUAAUUUGCCGUUUCAGAUUCUAAUACUUCUUGGUAAUAUUUUCCAAAGUGUACACAAAGCGUCUUGAUUGGUUAAAAACGUCAUAAACAGUUGAAAUUUAACCAACCAAUGACGUGACGUUAUUUCCAAGAAAAAAUUAUAACAAUUAUUCUUUUUAUAAUUCGGAAGAUAGUUAUCGGUGAAAGCAUCGGGUUCAAUGGCACUUGAAAAGAUAUCGGUGACUAUUGUGGAUAGAGAUAUUCUUUCAUCAAUUGUAGAAAAAUAUUCGAAUAUAACAGUGCCUCUAGACAUUAAGGAACAAUUUGUUUAUGAGAUUAUGAAACAGUUGAUAGAUCUUCCACAAGACGAGGCAGCGUAUACAUUGAAGCUGUAUUUUUUUUUACUUGAUAGAGGAUUGACGAAAUAAAUAUUUGGUUAAUUUUUUCAGGCCAUUUUGUGAUUGACGCUAAUGCAGUGUAUGUGGAUAUACAGUUUAAAGCUCUUCAAGGAAAUUGGUUAUGGAAAAAUCGGGAUUUUAAUCAUCGUAAUCGCUACCUAUGCGAGUAUCAACGAGUAAGUAUACUCCUUCGUUUAGCCUUUAAUUAGAAAUAUUAUAAACCCUUCGAAAUUUUAACAUAUAACUACUAGUACAUCAUCAUCAUGAAUCAUGAAAACUUAAGGUUAGUCUCGCCUGGUAUUCGGUAGUAUGUCUGUUUUAGAAAUAAAGUAUUCAUACUCGUUUUCGUAAAAGGGAUUCUUGCCAAAAAAAAACCUGGUUAAGAGCAACUUUCUGAAGCCGUACGUACGAGGGGAAAAUGUUAACCUCAAAACCGGUAUUUUUGGCAAAUGCCCCUUGUUAGCAUGAUUUAAUUGUUUAAUUCUAACGAAUGCUCUUUGUAUUCAUUUUGACUCCGGAAUGUUUAUUGUAAUCAGGUAUCCUAUGAAAAGUCUAGCCGAGGUUUCAGAAUUCGCAUUAUCUUAAGACAUGGUACUUCCCAUAUGCCGUGGUAGUUACUAGCCAAUACUUAAGCAAAUGGAAUUCCCUUGUUAAAAAUACACCAACAGAGAAAAGAAUAUUUCAAUAUAUAGGAAAUUGGUGAAAAAUAUCAUAUUUCUCAUCAAAUCAAAAUACAGCAUUACUACAUAAGACAGAACUGUAUGCAAUAAAAGACUCAUAUCUUGAAUUUGUUCUUGUACAUUUGAACAAAUAUCUUAACCUCAUUUGUAUUGUAAACUCUGUUAUAAAUAAUCCGAUUACAUGUAGUACAGUCAAUGUCGAGUGUUGUUCAUUAGUAACACCUUUGUACGAAAAUGUCAUCAUUGCCCGACGCGGUCAAUAAUUGUGGAUUGCGUACCAAACUCAAGAAUAUCUUUCUUGUCUUGUAUUGGCUUUAGUGUAUCAUUUUUUUUUAAAUUGAUAAAGGACAUUGUAAUUCUAAAGCAAACAUAUGCCUCUUAAAUACAUUGUCACUUUUAUUUACCACUUUUUGGGCAUAUCGGGAUGGCUAGAUUUUUUUAUUGGUAGAGGAAGCUGUAGUGCCAGAAGAAAACUACCGACCUUCGAUAGAAAAAAACUGACAAUUAUAGUCAAUUAGAAUUGAAGUCAAGUGCACCCGCACGAGCCAUGUUUGAUUCACAACUUCGGUGUUGACUGGCUAGGGACUAUAGUAGUUACUAUUUAUACACUCGACCACCGAGGCCUCACAUGCGCAAUAGAAGAACGAUUGUAAAAAUAUGAUAACAAAUUUUAGAAAAUUAACAUUUUGGUUUAUAUUUAUCAUUGAAUUUUAUAAUUUCUAACACAUCGACUAUCUUAAACUAACAAUUGACCAUCAAUUUUCCCGUCACCUUUGAGAGAAUACUAGUAUUGAGAUAAUAAAGCUGUUCAAUUUAACAUUUUACAAUGUAUAGAUGCGAGUUUAUCGCUGCAUUGAAGACCCAUUGGUUGACUUUGGCUGUUGUCUGCUAUAUGGUGGGGUUGUUGUUUUCUUGACACAUUCCCUAUUUCCACUCUCGAUUUUAUAGAAAUUGACAAAAGUAAAAGAGCCAAAUAUACCAACUGUUGAAACAUCAUCACAUCGAAGAAAUCAAGAAUAUCAGUUUCACAGGUUUUACAGAUUUCCAAUUACAUUCAUAUGACUUGAAUGUGUGUAAAUAAAGUAAUGAUGGUUUUUACAUGAUGCAUAACAAUUUAAAUCAAUACAAUGUUCCGUAUAAUUAUAUCCCCACUUGAAGGAAACUGGGGGUAUACUGUUUUACUUCUGUCUGUUCGUCCGACCAUCCAUCCAUCCAUCCGUCAGUCAGUCCGUUCAAUGUAUAUUUUUAUUCGCAUCUUUCUAGGAGAACUAAAAUACUAGGAUUUCUACAAUUUGGAUUCAGGGUUUAUAUAAGUCAGCUAUACCGUGUGAUGGGUUUUAAGAUUCAUCCCUUAAAAACUUCCUGUUUACCAAACACUUUUAUCAUUUAAAACAUGGUAGCCAAAUUGAAAAUUGCCAUCACGCUAUUCUCAGGAACUACACUACAAUGAUUUCUGAAAUUUGGUUUCAGGAUUUAUUUAAGUCAGUUGUACUGUGGUGUGCGUUUUCAGUUUCAUCACUUAACAACUUCCUGUUGAACGUAUGUUUUUAGAGGACGGAUGUAUCAUUAGUGAGCAAUAGCGCACAUAAUCACUUGUUGACAAAUAUUUUCUAACCUAUACAAAUAUAUACAAAAAUGUAGCAUGAUAUAUCAAUUUUUAAUUCAGAUAGUAGUUAUUUUUUUUGUGUCUGUUAAUUUAUAAAAUUGUGUUUUUCAGAGAGUGUGUCCGUAGAGAGGAUGUAUGCCAUUGCAGUACUUGAUGCAAUAAAAUCUUUAAAGCAG
rnacentral:lncRNA from 1 species